rnacentral:rRNA from 1 species
AGCGACUGGGRUGAAGCCGUAACRAGGUAGCCGUAGGUGAACCUGCAGAAGGAUCA